UGCCUUUUAUCUCAGAUUCCAGUGCUU
rnacentral:piRNA from 1 species